rnacentral:rRNA from 1 species
CAACGCCGCGUGGGGAUGAAGCUUUUCGGAGUGUAAACCCCUUUCGACCCGGAAGAAAGCCCGCAAGGGUUUGACGGUACGGGUAUAAGAAGCCCCGGCUAACUACGUGC